CCUAGCCGCCGCCUUCCUCCUCCCACACCCCCGCCUCCCUCUCCUCUUCCUCUCCACCUAGCACCGCCCGCACCCGCGCCUUCCUCUCCACAGCAGCAGCAGCAGCAGUGGAAUCACAUCCCGCACACACCGGAAGGCGGCCGGAAGGAGGCGAGCGGCAGCCUCACCACCGACACACUCGCCGCUGACGCCGGAAGCAGCUAAUGGAUCCUGGCCGUCCCCGUCUCCUUCACGUCAAAUCCGUCAAGGUCAAGUGGAUUGCAUCACGGCUGGCGUGCGGAUGGGCACGGAGCCACGAACGCACACCUCUACGGCAACGCCGCCGUCUCAGUGCUCCUCGCCUCCCACUCCGACGGCGACAACUUCUAUGCGCUCAUACACCUCGUCACCCUCAUCGCGCAGGCGGUCAAGAACGCGGUGGCAUAGUCGCUUGAGCUGAAGACGCUCGUCCCGUCUACCUCUACCUCUGCCUGUUCCACUACGCCGAGAGAUUUUCAGAAAUAACAAAGUUUGAGGGAAGCAUAUUUAGGCCUGGAACUUGGUCUACUGUCGGAAUUCAGAGCCAUAAAGCAUUGGACUUGGACAAGCAACAAACAAUCAAAGACGCGUACGUGACUGCUCCAUGGUCCAGAGCUCUUCUAUGGCAGCAACCAGCGGUCCCAAGGCCAAGGUGAGUUCCCCAUUUUCCUCCUCUCGCUGAGCUCCCUCCUUUGGCCACCAUUUCUCUCGCUAUCUCAGUGAUAUGCUUAUAUGUGCUGCUAGAAGUGAGGAUUUGACUAUAUUUCCGGAGCAAAAAUAUAACAAAGCGAAAAUUGUUCCAGAGAUCUGGGAGUUGUACUACUACUUCUGUUGCGAUGUGUCUUGCUUUCGUGUUUGUUUACAAUUGGCAAGUUUCAGGCUUUUACUGUCUUUAGCCAUCCUAGCAAUACUUUUUACAGUCUGCACUAUUUGUUCUCCCCUGAAAAUAUGAUUCUUGAUGAAGUUUUACUUCACUGUUGGCAUCUCCUCUGUUUGCUGAUCUACAAAUGUGUUUUUGUUUUUACAUUGAUAGACAAACUUUUAGUCGUACUUUCUAGGAUCAUAGUUCGUUGUCAACUACUUCCACUCAUGGCUGAUAUAUGUGAGUAUUUAGGCUGGAUAACUAUACCAUAGCCUGGACUGGUGGAUUGAGUAUAGUUGGUCCAUCAAAAUUCUGUUAAACAUAACUAUCUUUUUUUAAUCGACCAUGUGACUGCUUGCUAAUGGCUUGAAUUAACCCACUCCUACAUAUGAAAUUGUAAUUUGUUGACACAUAUAAGCAACCACAGUCUGUCCUAAAGGUGACUGACCUGUCUGUUUAGUGGAGUAAUGGUUGAUGAUAUCUUGGUUUUGCUGAAAAGUCAUAUGUAGAAAUAAUGUCCGACAACCAAUACCCGAGACCCUAUGGGUUUAUUUCCAGUGGCCAGUUCCUAAAAUGCCAAGUAGUCCGCAUCUUUCUAAGCAUUUUAAUUACUAUAUGGAAUUAGAACUAAGUCAGUAAUAAUUUUAGCCUCAUUUUGAAUAUGCCAUUGUCUUUAUUUGUCUCAACAGCGGACAAUUAGCACGAAAGCUGCAACCAGUGCACUCAUGACCAAGUUUUCUUCCUUUAUAAUGGAUUUUCAAGAUUCCUUUUAUACUGCUAUUUUUUAUUGCUUCUGUCUUCAUGUACCGUGACAGAUAUCGGUGAGUUUUUCUGCAUCAGGACAGUUGUUGUAAGAAAUGUGUUUCCAUGCACCUGCCUCGACCUUUAGGACUGGUGAGAUAUUUGAAGCUCUACGCUUGUGUGCACUAAAAUGGAGAGCAUCUCCUUUUUUUAAUGGUGAUGCGCCGAGAAUGUGGCCAAGGGGAUCCUGUGGUGCGGGGUGAUGACCGUGGACAGGCUCUGCUGGGGGAAUGAGGUGCUCCGGAAGAGGAUACAACCCGGCGAUACUGAGGCUGUGGUCAGCCUAGAGAUGCGCAUGCGUAUCAAAAGAUGACGAGCGUGGCAAUCUCGGUGGGCUCGCUAAAGUCAGGGGAAGGAGAGAAACAAUGGGGAAGGGAGCAUAACAUGGAUGUGGGGCAGGAGAGGCCGUGGUCGGAGCGGCAUUGCGUGGGCAUAUUGACAUGGCAAUGGUUUCAGGGUAUUAUUUGAGCUGAUACUCCAUUUUCUUACAAGAGAUGUGGUCCCGUCGAUGUUGGCUGUCGAAUUUGUGCUGCAGUCCAUGCCCACCACAUCCGAGUCUUCGCCCCUUCGUCAUCCAACACGAACAGCAGAACAGAGUAGCAGUUGUGAUUUGCCAGGUUGGAGAACUGACGCAGCUUGCUGCCACAGAGUGCUCGCCCUUCUUCUGUGCCAUAAAGCCCCUCGGUCGAAACUUGCAAAUCAAAAUUGCCGACCCUGUCAAUCUCGCUGGAACGACGUCUAGCUCGUUGUGCUCCACUCACUCUAACGACAUAUCUCAUAACUAAAGCCAUGAACAAGUGCUUCAGUUAUGCUGGUGGCAAUACAUUGCUUGAGGUGACCUCAUGUGCAAGAUUAUCCCCAUGGAGGGAGCUGGCACGAAGACAUUUGCUCACAUCAGUACUAUGAGCAGCCUGGUUGGGUGGUGACGUUUCCGAGUGGCCAAGCAAGAGCUUUUUUUGGUCUACACCUAUGCAGUGGUGACUUCUGCUACAAUGUGCAUCAACACCAGAACCAUGUUCCCGAUCAUGGACGCUGUUGUGUCCCUCACCGACUCUCUCCUUGCCAUCACCGAGAGGGUUGUGCAGGCCACUACUCGCGCAACUACUUUGCAGUGUGGAGCAUGCCAUCGAGAUAGACCAAAAGAAGAACAUCGCCGGCAACAACACCAAUGGGGGCCUCCCUGGUUGCCACCACCGCCGCUGCCGUCGUCGCCCUCCCCGCCGCCCCACACCACACUGCCAGAUAGGUCUAUGUGCUUUUCCCUUGCCCCCUGCUUAUUGCACUCAGGAUGUGUUGGUGCCAUGCUUUGCCUAUAUGUGAUCUCCUAUUCUGUUGUAAAAUUCUUUUUGCUUAUGAUUUCUUACUGUAGUGUGAAAUUUUAAUUGCUUGGGUUGUUACUGCUAUGAAAAAUAUAUUGCUAUAUUAGGUUUGUUACUUUAGUCUCUCUUCCUCCCUUGUUUUAUAAUGGUAUGAAAUUCUAUUUUGCUGCAAGAUCGAAGAGAUUCUUUUUGAACACAAUCUGUGUCAUGAGGACUGAAUUACAUGUAGCUAUGAUAUCU